rnacentral:lncRNA from 1 species
CAGAAAACACAAAUUAAUAUUUUUAAUUUACUUUAAUUAAUACUUUUAAACAGUAGACCCAGCAUUGGAGGUUUGUGGGGUUCCAAGAUGGAAGCUCCAGGCUGUCUGCUUGGCCAGCCCCCAGCCCUCUUACGGAUGUUGACCUUUUACCAGCGGGUAUUGAUUCCUAUGACUAGAGUUUGCCUGUGAACUCAGCAGCUGCUCUUGGAGAAGGAACAUGUCCAGGCUUGGUAAGCAUUCAUGCCUUCCAGUGGCAGAGACUGUAAGAUUCUUCGUUGGGAGCAAUCUUGGUAUUCGCUGUAUAAAAUCUUCUCAGACUGCCCCAGCCCCCUUGGAGCCCAAGGCUCGUUUCCAUCUGUAAUUCCACCAUCUACAGUCUCACAGAGUGCUCUAUGACUACCAAGACAACAAGCGUCUGUCCCCAGUGCUCUGAGGAGUCCGACCCUCUGAAGCAAGAAAAAGCUGAAAUCCUGAUUUUUCCUCCUUAAAAUCAGCAUGAAAUCGCUUGCCGGUUCCUGAUGGUGUGCCAGGAUGUGAUGUGAUGAGCUGUGAGGGAUGACGGGAAAGAAGUUCUGUUCCAAUAUUAAAUAUCUCUUUGUCCUCUCCAUCCCUUCCCCUGAUCAUAUUGUUUAAAAUAGCACAACUAGAAGGACCUGCAACGAGAAUAUACAAUCAUGUACUGGGGGGCUUUGGGGAUAAGAAGAGGAAGAAGGAAAAAACCCAAAAAGAUAGGCAACAGAUGUUAGCUCAGGUGCCAGUCUUAAAAAAAAAAUAACAGUAGUAGUAAUAAUAGCAACUAUAAUAUAUAAUUAUAAUUUUAUUAUAUAUUACAUAUAAUAUAUGGAUAUAUAUUAUAUGUUAUAUAAUUACAUGAAUGAUAUGAAUGUAUAAUUAUAUGAAUUAGAAUUAUGAAUAUAUAGUUAUAGUUUAUAAUUAUAAUGAAGAGAGCUAGCAUUUAUUAAACCUGGAUUAUGUGUCAGACACUCUGCUAAGCAUAUUACCUUCAUUAUAUCCUCUGAUCCUAAGAACAAUCCCAAAGCAAGGCACUGUUAGUUUAUUCAUCCUUAUUGAACAGAUGGGCCUGGAAGGACUAAGAUAUUUGCCUUUUGGGUCAAGCAUUGUCUGCUCUCUUCUCUUCUUUUAAAAUGUGUCCAUCGAUUCCUUGAACAAAGAUUUAUCGAGUGCCUGUGUCCCAGGCCCUGUUUUAAUCACUAUAUACUCUCUGGAAACAUGUGAUGUCUUCUCUUUUGUUCUAAGAGAUGAAAGGAGGUGGUGUAAGGGUAGUGGGCUUCUGAGAAAAUGAGGCACUGCAGACCGCAAAGUCUACUGGCUUCCCACUUCUGCCCUGAGAAACAGCAAUGAGAACCUCAUCCCACAGGUGGAUUUCUGUCCUGCU